rnacentral:lncRNA from 10 species
GGUGAUACAGGUAAUGAAAAAUUGUCCUUCCUACCCUCUUCAAUAUGUCUUUUCUUACUUCUAUGCUACACCUGGGUGCUGUAAUCUCUCACCUCGUUUCCUUAGCUCUGGUGAAGGUAUUUUCGUGUGCAUAUAGUUGUUCAAAUUGAUGUUUCUAUGGGGAGAUGAACACUGGAAAGUCCUAUUCUGCCAUUUUUAUGAUGUCAGGCCCCCUGCUAUUAUUCUUUUCCAAAACUAUUUUGGCUAUUCUAGGUCUUUGCAGAUAAGUUUUAUAGUAAGCUUGUGAAUUUCUAUCUGCUUCCCCCCCGAAAAAAAAAUACCUGUUAGAAUUUUGAUUAGUAUUGCAUUUGAAUUUAUAGAUCAAGUUGAAAAGAUUUGACAUGUUAACAAUAUUGAACUCUCCAAACUAUAAACAUGAUAUAUCUCUCCAUUUAUUUAGGUAGUCUUAAUUCUCUUACCAAUUUGUAAUUUUUAGUGUAGAGGGCUUUUAUAUUUUGUUAAGUUUAUUCUAAGUAUCUUAUGAUUCCUCAUGCCACUGGAAAUUAUAUUUUUAAAAUAUCAUUUUCUAAUUCUUUGUUGCUAGUAUAUGCAAUUGCAGUUGAUUUUAUAUGUUGAUCUUUAUCAUUAGACAGUGCUAAAUUCAUUAGUUCACAUAGUUUAUUUGUAAUUUCCUUAUUAUUUUUUCCAUAAGUAAGAAUGCAUCACAGAAUAAACAGAGUUUUACUUCUUCAUUUUCAAUAUAAUGCUUUUAAUUUCUUUUCUUUGCCUUAUUACACUAGCUAGGACCUCCAGGUCAAUUUACAAUAGAAGUGGUGAGAGCUGACAUCUUUGCCUUAUUCCCAAGUCUUAGCUAAUAUCUUUGCCUUGUUCAAUAUUUCAACAGUAAAUAUGAUUGUAUUGGUCUGUAACUUUCAUUUGUUGUAAUAUUCUUCUCAGAUUUUGGUAUUAAGGUAAUAUGUGUCUCAUAAAACAAGUUUAGAAGCGUAAUUUCUCCUCUAUUUUCUAAGAGGUCAUUUUGCACUGAUAUUUCUAAAACAUUUAAUAGAAUUCAUCCUAAACAAGUUCAUAUUUAAAAAAAAGAAUUCACCAGUAAGGGUAUUGGAUCUGGAGCUUUUUUUAAAAAAUAAGGGAGGUGCUGAUUAACUUUUAGGUUUGUAAAGUCAGAUAUGCAUUCUAAAAUUUCUAGGUUACAAUUACAGUAAUAAAAAUAGGCUGUAUAUCAGAAUUAGUGAGGGGAUGAUAAUUAUACCACUCAAUCCAAACGAAGGCAUAAAGAGAAAAAAAUAAAUCAACUUAGAGAGAACAAGUCAAAUAUGUAGCACAAAAUAAAAGGACAGAAAAAUUCCAAAAUAUCCAUAAUAACAAAAAAGUAAAUAAACUAAAAUCUCCAUGUAAAGACAAAUAUUUUCAGGGAGGAUUAAUUUUUAAACUUCAAUUUAUAUACUAUACACAAAACAUGCCUUGAACAUUAUGACAAAGAAAAGUUAAAAAUAAAAUUAUAAAAAAGGAUAUACAUACAAAUAUUAACAAAAUAAAAGCUAAUUAAUGUCAAACCAAAUAGACUAUAGCCGUUAAAGCUUAGGGCACAAAGCAUUACUGUAAAAUGGUAAGUUUUAUUUCACAGAGAAGUUGUUUCAUCAAAACAUGUAUCAGCCUAAUAUAACCUUAAAAUAUAUAAAGCAAAAAUGGACAUAAUUAUAAGAAAAAGGUAACAAAACCAUAAAUGAACUGGGAGAUUUUCAUAUACCUGUAGUGGCCCCCCAAAAGAUAUGUCUAUGCUCAAAUCCCUGGAACCUGUGAAUGUUACCGGCAAAUGGCUUUUUAAAUUGAUAAUUAAGGUUUUUGAGAUCAUCCUGGAUUAUCCAGUAAGCUCUAAACCCAAUGACACAUGUCCUUACGACAGAAGAAAGAGGAGAAAACUCAGGCACACAGAGGAGAAAGCAACGUGAAGACAGAGGCAGAGACUGGAGUGAUUGGAGCUGCAAGCCAUGGAAUGCAAAUGACUGCCAGCAACCACCAGAAGCUUGGGAACAGGCAUAGAAUGAAUCCUUCCACAGAGUCUUCAGAGGGAACACAACCCUGUGGUUACCUUGGUUUUGAACUCCUAGCUUCCAGAACUGUGAGGGAAAAAAAUUUCUUUUGUUUGUAAGACACCAAGUUUGUGGUAAUUUAUUACAGCAGGUACAAGACAUGUAUACACCUCCCUCAUUCUUAAAAAACAAACAAACAAAAAACCGCAUAGACCAAAACUAAGAAAAAAAGAAUCAAACUAUACAACAUUUUUUUUUUGUUUUUAGACAGAGUCUCACUCUGUUGCCCAGACUGAAGUGCAGUGGCACAAUCAUAGCUCACUGCAGCUUCAACUUCCUGGGCUCAAGUGAUCCUCUUGCCUCAGCUUUCCAAGUAGCUGGGACUCUAGGCAUGCACCACCACACCUGGCUAAUUUUUUAAUUUUUUAUAGAGAUGGGGGUCUCACUAUACUAGCCAAGCUGGUCUCAAACUCCUAGCCUCAAACAAUCCUCCCAUCUUGACUUCUCAGAGCUGGGAUUAACAGGCAUAAGCCACUGCACCCAGCCUAAUUACAAUUUUUGAUCUGAUAGAAUAUACAGAGCACUGCAUCAAAUAAUCAGACAGAGUUUUUAAAAAUUAGCACUCAUAAGCCAGGCGUGGUGGCUCAUGCCUGUAAUCCCAGCACUUUGGGAGGCCGAGGCGGGCGGAUC